CAUGCAAGUCGGACGGUAGAAAGGUGCUUGCACCUUUUGAGAGUGGCGAACGGGUGAGUAACACGUAGGUAAUCUACCUAGAAGUUGGGGAUAGCCUGUGGAAACACAGGGUAAUACCGAAUGCGACCGUGUAAACGGUGAAAGAGGCUUUGGCCUCGCUUUUAGUUGAGCCUGCGGCUCAUUAGCUGGUUGGUGGGGUAACGGCCUACCAAGGCGACGAUGAGUAGCCGGCCUGAGAGGGCGACCGGUCACACUGGGACUGAGACACGACCCAGACUCCUACGGGAGGCAGCAGCUAAGAAUCUUCCGCAAUGGUCGAAAGGCUGACGGAGCGACGCCGCGUGGACGGAGAAGGCCGGAAGGUUGUAAAGUCCUUUUCUCGGAGAAGAAUAAGGUGCGGAGGGAAUGCCGCAUUGAUGACGUUAUCUGAGGAGUAAGCCCCGGCUAAUUACGUGCCAGCAGCCGCGGUAACACGUAAGGGGCAAGCGUUGUUCGGAAUUAUUGGGCGUAAAGGGCGCGUAGGCGGCUGAGCAAGCCUGGUGUGAAAGGCCACAGCUUAACUGUGGGAGUGCGCUGGGAACUGUUUGGCUGGAGUUCAGGAGGGGAAUCUGGAAUUCCUGGUGUAGGGGUGAAAUCUGUAGAUAUCAGGAAGAACACCUGUGGCGAAGGCGAGAUUCUGGCCAUGAACUGACGCUGAGGCGCGAAAGCGUGGGGAGCGAACAGGAUUAGAUACCCUGGUAGUCCACGCUGUAAACGAUGUGCACUAGGUGUCGGCUGUAGUAACGGUCGGUGCCGAAGCAAACGCGAUAAGUGCACCGCCUGGGGAGUAUGCUCGCAAGGGUGAAACUCAAAAGGAAUUGACGGGGGCCCCGCACGAACCGGGUGGACCAUGUGGUAUUAAUUCAGAUGAUACGCAGAGGACCCUUACCAGGGCGUUGACAUAUGCAUGACUGGUCGUAGAAGAUACGNCUUCCGUGCGGGCGCAUGCAAUCGAGUUGCUGCAUGGUGCUCGUCAACUCGUGCUGUGGAUUGUUGAGUUAAUCACAACAGCGGACACAGCCCGGUCUGGUGUGUAACCAACACAUAAAGUGGGAAACUCAGACGGUACUGCCGGUAACAAACCGGAGAAAGUGGGGAUAACGUCAAAUCAUCAUGGCCCUUAUGUCGUGGNCUACACACGUGCUACAAUGGUCGGUACAGAGCGUCGCAAAACCGCGAGGUGGAGCAAAUCGCAGAAAGCCGGCCUCAGUACGGAUUGGAGUCUGAAACCCGACUUCAUGAAGUUGGAAUCGCUAGUAAUCGCGCAUCAGCAUGGCGCGGUGAAUACGUUCCCGGGCCUUGUACACACCGCCCGUCACACCACCCGAGUUGGGGGUACCCGAAGUCGCUCGUCUAACC
rnacentral:rRNA from 1 species